GGGCGGGCGGCGAAAUGGCGCCGGGUGGAGUUCUCUGAGGGUUAAACCCAUUGGUGUGGAGAGAAAACACCUGCUUCAGUCAGGAAACACUGAUUAAUGAGCCAAAGCGCAGUUUUAUUACCCCCCAGCUCAAGGCCGGCGUUGUUUCAGUUUAGAAAGCAGCUGACUAGAGCGAGGAGCAAGGCUGAGGGCUGCAGCUAGAUGGCGGCUAAGGAUGGGGAUACAGCAGCACCUGACAGGGUUGUCAGAUCUAACCAAAAAGAUCCACGGUUGUGAAUUGCAACUGGUACUGCACCAUUAUUUGAAAAAAAAAAAAAAUCACUUGUUAAAAUAUUUUGCUUUUUUCCAUUUUAGGCUGUAACUAGAACUCUUUGGGAAGUUUGGCAAAGCGUAAAAUCAUAGAAGGUCCCGAGCCACAAGGAUCAUCGAGUCCAACUUCUGUCCCUGCGAAGUUCAGACUGUGUGUCUGAGAAAGCAGCGCUUCAAUACAACCAAAUCAUUGACUCAAAGUGGUACCAGCGCCAGCAAAAGGCUCAUUGAGAACAGCUCAAAGUGGUAAAAAGGAUCAAUAUCUAACUGUGCUGCCAGUGUCUCAUGUUCACACACCUCCCUGCCAGAAGAGGUCCUUUUUUUUCUUUUCUUUAAAUUGUUGGAUCUCGUUUAACACUAAAAAACCCGACGUUCAGAUUUCGCUCAGGUGGGAUGAGGAAAUAUUUGAUCUGUCACAAAUAUUGAGGUGCCUGGGAACUGUAAAGCUCCAAUUUUGACUGCAUCUCUCCAUUCACCUGCUUUAAAAUGUGCCUUUUACUUUCCUUUCAAGGAGAAACUUCCUGCAAAGUCUCUUAAAUAACUUUGAAGCCUCAAUCUCGAAGCAGGGGAACCUGCUGGGGUGCAAGCAAGUAUUAUUUCUUCUUUUUUUAUAUACUUUCUGUAAAAAACCAACCAAACAAAAUAGCGUUAACAGCCCACACCCACAAGAACGCUACUUUUUGUUUAUAGAUGCUUAUUUUGAGAUACUUCAAAUGCGUUUUCACCAAUGAACAUUUCCAUUAUUAUCCGUGGGAUCAGAAGCCAUUUGGCACACACCACCAUCUCAGAGCAGAGGUAUGUGAGGAAGGAUCAGCACCGCCAAAAUACACGCAUGACAGAGUUUUUAAGCCAAGCGUUACGUGAAAAAAACCACAAAAGGCGUCUCCCUUAGGGUCCAAUGACUUUGAGGAAACAAUAAAUAUGUGAAAAGAGAUCUCAGCGAUGACUUCCAACACUUCCUUAGUGUUUCAGUUCUUCCUACAGAACAAGAACUGUCACGUUUCUCAGAGUGCCAAGUUUCCAGGACCUGCCUCCAUGUAGGAGACCAGCGCUGGUGGAGAAACGCAGCGUCUUUACACGCAGCCGCAUCUUCGCAACAGAGCACCGAAGCAACAAGAAAGUUUUUGACACCUGACCAUUUACGCAGGUUGUGGAGGUCUAUGACUGCUCGUUCGUGGAUUUAAUUGCCAGAAAUGAACCAGCCGAUUGCCUCGAUUGAGUAAAGCAGGGCCUCUGCACAGCAGAACCCAGGGCAGGACCCAUCUCUGUCACCCCUGCAGCCCUCUGUGUUCUGCACCAAGGUGAAGAUCCCCUCGGAGCCUGGAAAACGAGGUUGGAUUAUGUCUCUGAAGCAAAAGUUCCAGCCAGCAGACAGGUUUCUGGUCAUGACAUGCUGAGAAGCUACAGCCCUGAACAUCUCUUCCCUUCUUCCAAACUUAAUAAAACCCGCAGCAACCCUUCCAAGAUAUUCACUUAUCAUCCCAGUGCGCGAUUCCUGUCUUCAUUCUUUAUUGUCUGGGAUUUUCCCCCAGUUUCUGCUCUGACAAUUGCAGCAUCUUCCUCUCCUCAAGACAGAGAUUUCCCCGCUUUGAUUCCAAAGUCGCCUCUGAAGUCAUCCCGCCCUCCUGGUUUGCUCCUUCCCUCCCUCUUCCGCUUAUUCCUCUUCGCUCUUACAACAAUUUGGACACAACCCCCCUUCUCAAAGCUUUCCCAGUCACGGGGAAGGUCAUAUGAUGGGUCGGGACGGCUGGGCAAGGCUGCGGCAGGCGCACGGGGCCCCAUUCCGAGCGCAUCUCCAGCUCCCACCGCAUCCCACGGCCACCCCGGGACUCCGUCAGGUGCUGGACCCGCAGCGUGACGACAACUGUGUGACCACGGGGCUGCCGCAGGCCGUGGAAUUGCGUUGCAAAUAUAAAAAUGGAGUAUUUUAGUGGGGUCUCGCACCCGUAUCCCCCAUCCUGCCCACGCGCAGGCCUCCCCUCACACCUACAUCGUGCUCUGCUUAAAAAAUAUCGCCUUUGCGACGCGUAUAACCAACAGAACCCUCUUGUUUUCCUGUGCCCCGACCUUCGUCUGUCUGUCUGCCUGUCUGUCCUUGGACUGGGAGUUCCUAAAAUGAACAUCAGCAGUGUCUGUACGUCGCAGGCAGGAACACGAGUACAAAGUACUCAGACGUGCCCCGAGCUUUUCUUAACUAAUUACAGAGCCACUGACUCUUCCUAAUAAGAACAAGAAACACAAUAAAAUGGAGAAGUUAAGCAAUUAAAACUAAAUGGCCAGAGAGUGAAGCAGAGCCCGGUGGGGGACCUGCAUCCUCAGGGACAUUUAAUUCUUUCCUAUUUUCAUAUUUCACAUGCAUGU